AGAACGAACGCUGGCGGCAGGCUUAACACAUGCAAGUCGAGCGCUGUAGCAAUACAGAGCGGCGCACGGGAGAGUAAUACGUGGGAACCUACCUUUUGGUUCGGAAUAACGUCGGGAAACUGCUGCUAAUACCGCAUGACACCUGAGGGUCAAAGGCGCAAGUCGCCUGUGGAGGAGCCUGCGUCCGAUUAGCUAGUUGGUGGGGUAACGGCCUACCAAGGCGACGAUCGGUAGCUGGUCUGAGAGGAUGAUCAGCCACACUGGGACUGAGACACGGCCCAGACUCCUACGGGAGGCAGCAGUGGGGAAUAUUGGACAAUGGGCGCAAGCCUGAUCCAGCAAUGCCGCGUGGGUGAAGAAGGUCUUCGGAUUGUAAAGCCCUUUGGCGGGGACGAUGAUGACGGUACCCGCAGAAGAAGCCCCGGCUAACUUCGUGCCAGCAGUCGC
rnacentral:rRNA from 1 species